UUUCUUUUUUUGUUGUAUCGGUGGUUGUAAUGCUCGAAUAUUGCUUUCUAAUCUAAAUAGGGGGAAACCCUUUCUCGUCAAGACAAUCUAUAGCCCUGUGAAAAGACGUCAAUUAAUAAAUCUUGUUCCAUAUGUCCUGUAAUAAGCUUCAGUUAGUUUAAAAUGCUCUAACACCUUAGCCCUUGCUUUCUUCAUGAUGAUUUUGCGACCUUUAUAUUAGAUGUUGGCCUGCAUAUAGAAUUGUGGAUGACCUCAUCCCUUCAGCAUCAUCAACCUUUUGCAAUGUGUUGAUUUUACUUUUAUAAUAGUAUGUAUUAAUUAGUAAGAUUUAACUCGUGGAUCAUCACAUAGCUUGCAACCUUUUUGGAAUGCUUUUGGACCGAAGUCUAUGACCUGCUUUAUUGAUGGUAACAUUACCAUCCGCGUCCGUCUUCUUCUUAAAGAUCCAUUUAUUUUCUAUCGCUCGCCGAUCAUCGGGCAAGUCUGUCAAAGUCCACACUUUGUUUUCAUACAUGGAUCCUAUCUCGGAUUGCAUGGCUUCAAGCCAUUUGUUGGAAUCUGGGCCCGCCUUCGCUUCUUCAUAGUUAGAAGGUUCACCGUUGUCUAACAACAUGAUUUCCAGGACAGGGUUGCCAUACCAUUCUGGUGUAGAACAUGUCCUUGUGGACCUACGAAGUUUAGUAGUAACUUGAUCCGAAGUACCUUGAUCAUCAUCAUUAACUUCCUCUCUAGUUGGUGCAGGCACCACAGGAACAUCUUCCUGAGCUGCGCUACUUACCGGUUCAAGAGGCAGUACUUCAUCAAGUUCCACUUUCCACCCACUUAAUUCUUUCGAGAGAAACUCUUUCUCCAGAAAGGACCCAUUCUUGGCAACAAAGACCUUGCCUUCGUAUCUAAGGUAGAAGGUAUACCCAAUGAUUUCCUUAGGGUAUCCUAUGAAGACGCAUUUUUCCGACUUUGGUUCGAGCUUUUCAGGUUGAAGUUGCUUGACGUAAGCAUCGCAUCCCCAAACUUUUAGAAACGAUAGCUUAGGUUUCUUUCCAAACCAUAACUCAUACGGUGUCGUCUCAACGGAUUUAGACGGUGCCCUAUUUAAAGUGAAUGUAGCUGUCUCUAAAGCGUAUCCCUAAAAUGAUAGCGGUAAAUCGGUAAGAGACAUCAUAGACCGCACCAUAUCCAAUAGAGUGCGAUUACGAUGUUCGGACACACCGUUACGCUGAGGUGUUCCAGGCGGCGUGAGUUGUGAAACAAUUCCACAUUUCCUUAAGUGCGUACCAAACUCGUGACUUAAAUAUUCUCCCCCACGAUCUGAUCGUAAGAACUUUAUUUUUCUGUCACAUUGAUUCUCUACCUCAUUCUAAAAUUCCUUGAACUUUUCAAAGGUCUCAGACUUGUGUUUCAUCAAGUAGACAUACCCAUAUCUACUUAAGUCAUCAGUGAGGGUGAGAACAUAACGAUAGCCACCGCGAGCCUCAACACUCAUUUAAUUUCGAAUAAGUUGGUUGCUCGCUCCAUUGUUCCGGAGAACGGAGUCUUGGUCAUUUUGCCCAUGAGGCAUGGUUCGCACGUGUCAAAUGAUUCGAAAUCAAGAGACUCCAAAAGUCCAUCUGUAUGGAGCUUCUUCAUGCGUUUGACACCAAUGUGACCAAGGCGGUAGUGCCACAGAUAUGUGGGACUAUCAUUAUCAAUCUUACAUCUUUUGGUAUUCACACUAUGAAUAUGUGUAACAUCACGUUCGAGAUUCAUUAAGAAUAAACCAUUGACCAGCGGGGCAUGACCAUAAAACAUAUCUCUCAUAUAAAUAGAACAGCCAUUAUUCUCGGAUUUAAAUGAGUAGCCAUCUCGUAUUAAACGAGAUCCAGAUACAAUGUUCAUGCUCAAAGCUGGCACUAAAUAACAAUUAUUGAGGUUCAAAACUAAUCCCGUAGGUAAAUGUAGAGGUAGUGUGCCGACGGCGAUCACAUUGACCUUGGAACCAUUCCCGACGCGCAUCGUCACCUCGUCCUUCGCCAGUCUCCGCUUAUUCCGUAGCUCCUGUUUUGAGUUACAAAUAUGAGCAACCGCACCGGUAUCAAAUACCCAGGAGCUACUACGAGUAUUGGUAAGGUACACAUCAAUAACAUGUAUAUCACAUAUACCUUUGGUGUUGCCGGCCUUCUUAUCCGCUAAGUACUUGGGGCAGUUCCGCUUCCAGUGACCGUUCCCCUUGCAAUAAAAACACUCUUUCUCAGGUUUGGGUCCGUGCUUUGGCUUCUUCCCUGCAACUGGCUUACCGGGCGCGGCAACUCCCUUGCCGUCCUUCUUGAAGUUCUUCUUACCCUUGCCUUUCUUGAAACUAGUGGUUUUAUUGACCAUCAACACUUGAUGUUCCUUUUUGAUUUCUACCUCUGCUGAUUUCAGCAUUGAAAAUACCUCAGGAAUAGUUUUCACCAUCCCCUGCAUAUUGUAGUUCAUCACAAAGCUCUUGUAGCUAGGUGGGAGCGACUGAAGGAUUCUGUCAAUGACCGCCUCAUCCAGGAGGUUAAUGUCCAGCUGGGACAAGCGGUUGUGCAACCCAGACAUUUUGAGUAUGUGCUCGCUGACAGAACUAUUUUCCUCCAUCUUACAACUGUAGAACUUGUCAGAGACUUCAUAUCGCUCGACCCGGGCAUGAGCUUGGAAAACCAUUUUCAGAUCUUGGAACAUCUCACAUGCUCCAUGUUGCUCAAAACGCUUUUGGCGCCCCGGUUCUAAGCUAUAAAGCAUGCCGCACUGAACGAGGGAGUAAUCAUCAACACGCGACUGCCAAGCGUUCAUAACGUCUUGGUUCAUUGGGACGGGUGCUUCACCUGGCGGUGCUUCUAGAACAUAUGCUUUCUUGGCAGCUAUGAGGAUGAUCCUCAGGUUCCGGACCCAGUCCGUAUAGUUGCUACCAUCGUCUUUCAGCUUGGUUUUCUCUAGGAACGCGUUGAAGUUGAGGUUGACAUGAGCAUGGGCCAUUUGAUCUACAAGACAUUUUGCAAAAUGUUUUAGACUAAGUUCAUGAUAAUUAAGUUCAUCUAAUCAAAUUAUUUAAUGAACUCCCACUCAGAUAGACAUCCCUCUAGUCAUCUAAGUGAUACAUGAUCCGAGUCAACUAGGCUGUGUCCGAUCAUCACGUGAGACAGACUAGUCAUCAUCGGUGAACAUCUCCAUGUUGAUCGUAUCUUCUAUACGACUCAUGUUCGACCUUUCGGUCUCUUGUGUUCCGAGGCCAUGUCUGUACAUGCUAGGCUCGUCAAGUCAACCUAAGUGUUUUGCACGUGUAAAUCUGGCUUACACCCGUUGUAUAUGAAUGUUAGGAUCUAUCACACCCGAUCAUCACGUGGUGCUUUGAAACAACGAACUUUUGCAAGGGCGCACAGUUAGGGCGAACACUUUAUUGAAAUUUUUAUGAGGGAUCAUCUUAUUUACUAUCAUCGUUCUAAGCAAAUAAGAUGCAAAAACAUGAUAAACAUCACAUGCAAUCAAAUAGUGACAUGAUAUGGCCAAUAUCAUUUUGCUCCUUUGAUCUCCAUCUUCGGGGCGACAUGAUCGUCACCGGCAUGACACCAUGAUCUCCAUCAUCAUGAUCUCCAUCAUCUUGUCUCCAUGAAGUUGUCUCGCCAACUAUUACUUCUACUACUAUGGCUAAUGGUUUAGCAAAGAAGCAAAGUAAUUACAUGGCAUUAUUCAGUGACACGCAGGUCAUACAAUAAAUAAAGACAACUCCUAUGGCUCCUGCCAGUUGUCAUACUCAUCGACAUGCAAGUCGUGAUUCCUAUUACAAGAACAUGAUCAAUCUCAUACAUCACAUAUAUUUCAUUCAUCACAUCCUUUUUGGCCAUAUCACAUCACAAGGCAUAUGCUGCAAAAACAAGUUAGACGUCCUCUAAUUGUUGUUGCAUGUUUUUACGUGCCUGCUAUAGGGUCCUAGCAAGAACGUUUCUUACCUACGCCAAAACCACAACGUGAUAUGCCAAUUUCUAUUUACCCUUUAUAAGGACCCUUUUCAUCGAAUCAGAUCCAACUAAGGUGGGAGAGACAGACACCCGCUAUCCACCUUAUGCAACUAGUGCAUGUCAGUCGGUGGAACCUGUCUCACGUAAGUGUACGUGUAAGGUCGGUUCGGGCCGCUUCAUCCCACGAUGCCGCCGAAACAAGAUAAUACUAGUAGUGGCAAGUAAAUUGACAAAAUCUAUGCCCACAACAAAAUUGGGUUCUACUCGUGCAUAGAAACAACACAUAGACCUAGCUCUGAUACCACUGUUGGAGAUCGUUGCAGAAAAUAAAAAAAUUCUAUGCAUCACCAAGAUCAAUCUAUGGAGUCAUCUAGCAACGAGAGAGAGGUGCAUCUACAUACCCUUGUAGAUCGCGAGCGGAAGCGUUCAAGAGAACGGGGUUAAUGGAGUUGUACUCGCCAUGAUCCAAAUCAUCGAUGAUCCUAGCGCCGAACGGACGGCACCUCCGCGUUCAACACACAUACGGGGUGGAGACGUCUCCCGCGCCUUGAUCCAGCAAGGAGGAGGGAGAGGUUGAGGAAGAGAGCUCCAACAGCAACACGACAUCGUGGUGGUGAUGGAGAGGCAGUACUCCAGCAGGGCUUCGCCAAGCUUCUGCGGAGGAGCAGAGGUGUUGGGGAGGGGAGGGGCUGCGCCUUGGAGAUGUGUGUGCAGCCCUCCCUUUGCCCCUCUAUUUAUAGGGGGAGAAGGAAGGGGGUCGGCCCCCUCUAGAUGAGAUCUAGAGGGGGGGCAAGGGGGGGACUUGCCCCCCAAGCAAGGGGGGCGCCCCCUUUAGGGUUUCCCCCCAACCCUAGGCGCAUGGGCCCAAGGGGGGAUGCGCCCAACCCUCUAAGGGCUGGUUCCCUUCCCACUACAGCCCAUGAGGCCCUCCGGGAGAGGUGACCCCUCCCGGUGGACCCCCGGAACCCUUCCGGUGGCCCCGGUACAAUACCGGUAUGCCCCCAAACCACUACAAGAAAUAUGUCAACUUGUGACCUUGACUAUUGGUCACUGAAAGGUCAUGGUUUUUCAUUUGUGACCUUUUUUGACCAAAAACAGAAGGUCAAAAGCUGAGGGUCGUUAACUGACUAUAGCGACCUUCUCUGUGAGAAGUUUGUGGACGUUUACGACCAAAAUAUUCCUACUGUGGCGUUUUGGUCACUAGCAACCUCCCCAGGCCACGUAGGCAUCCAGCGUGGCAAGCUGAUGUGGCACAAGAUUCAGCCCGGUCCAAUUCAGUUUUCUACAUGGGCCUAGCCCAACAAUUCGGCCUUUCUAUAUUUUUUUCCUAUGCUUUUAUUAGCUACAUGGGCCUGGCCCAAGAAUUCGGCCUUUUUAUUUUCUAGGCCAUGGCCUUUUUAUUUUAUUUUUUCCAAAAUAUGAGCCCACUAGUGAGAUGGGACCCAGUUGUCAGGUUCUAACAAGUGGGUCCCAAUUGUCAGUGUUAUAUUCUUCAGAUCUCAAUUUUCCAGUAAAUAAAUAACAAUAUUUAAAUCCGAAUAGAGAGAAAACAAAAUGCUUCAAACAGAGCAUGACUAAUCAGGAAAAAUAUGGUACACAUCACGAAUACAAUCAGAAAGAGCCAAACUUGGCACAUUAUUACAAUCAAACUUGUUCACCCUGGUAACACAGCAAGGAUGGUUCAUCCUGGUAACACAUUAUUACAGAAAAAUAUGGUUCACAUCAAGUUUACAAUAAAAAAUGUUCACAUCAGGUAACACAACUAUCACAGCAUAACUAGCUCCAAUGCUUCUCCCAACUUGUUCAUCCUGGACCUCACGACAAAACAUGAAUGAAGGCCAGCAUCUACAAGUUAUCAAGAAAAAUGGUUAGAACAAGCAAAAUGCGACAUUUUUACCAUUUAAGCAUAGAAGAACAGGGUCAACAACAUUUCGAUCUUUGAAAAUGAACCAGGAUUUCAAUCUCUGAACAGCAAAAAAUUGAUACAGUAGAUCAUUUGCGGUUUAAAACAACCCCUAAGGAGAGACAUGUUGACGCAUUCAUUUGGCAACAUCUGUAGAAAUUGAACCUCAUAAACAUGCAAUGUGGAAUUUGUAUCUCAAAGAAGUAUACAUACUUAUCAGGUUUAAUUAGCACAUAAACAUGCAAUGUGGAAUUUGUAUCUCAAAGAAGUAUACAUACUUAUCAGGUUUAAUUAGCACAGAGAAGCCAAAUGCUAGUAACUCAUGAUUAGUACACAAGACAGGAUUCAGCAAAGUAAACAAGAAGUUGGCUACAGUACAAAAGUAAGAUCAUCACACAGAAUAAAUGAGUGGAACUACAGUACAUCCUCUAAAUUAGCAUGUUCACAAGAUUAAAAGUAAGCGCAGCAUAAGCAUAUGAGUUUUGUUUGGCAUAGUUUGUUCGGUAAUAUAGAAAGAGGGGAGAUGGGGCACAGAAAUUUGAGGCACUGUUAUGAGGUAGUGUCUGAUGAAGGUUGCCCUUUGGGGCGACAGCGGUAGCUCCGCCAAAUGUAGCAGCAGCACCUCCGACUAGCACAGCGGCAAAUACCAAGAAGAAUGUCAUGACAAAAGCAACACAGAAGGCUUUUGUGAUGGCGUACCUGAAAAUAGCAGCAGUAGGUUAGUGUGGAUUAUGUAUAUUUGCACAGCACAUAGCAUAACAGAUAAACAAAGGCCAAGAACCCAUAGGCGCCAGAAAACAAAAAUCUUUUUAGCCUAAUUAAUAGUACUUCACAGUAGAUAAACAUUUGUUGAUGCUAAAAAUGACAAAGGCGUGUACCAUGACAUGUCCAGCAAGCCUAACUAAUAGUGUCAAACUAUAGCUAUAAAUAGCACAUCAGCAGCAGCAUAAUACAGUCAAUGGUACACUCUUAUGUAUAGUUGAAACCAAAGGAUAAGACAAACAAAACUUCAAAGAAAUAGAUGAUUUCUCUUCUAUAGUUAAAAGUCACUCAACAGGAAAAUAAUACACUCAAUGAUACAUGUGAAUUAGAAAUGCCAUUAUACACAACCCGAAAUGCCCAUUAUACACAGCCCGGAGUCUAUUCUAUAGAAAAACACUAAUCAACCAACCAAGUAAAACCUUCUGAAAGUAGAUGAUCUCUUAUCCUUCCUUGAUAUAUUAUGACUUCUACUAGAAAUGCAUUUACUAUGAACUGCAACACUAUGGUAACCUGUAAGCAACAAUGAUUACUAUCCCUGGUAGAUAUAUACUACACCUCCUGAUUUUGAUGGACAAACACUCAUACAUUCAUGAAAUUUACUGAACAUAAGCAACUCAUAUAUAUGACAUGUUUGUAAUGGCAGUUUGGUACUAGUGGCUGUAGAAAUAUGGAAAGAACACAUUCAGGGUUGGAGGUCAGACACUUGCACGCCCAUCUCCAAGGUUGGCUGCUAGUGCUCCAUUGAUUAAUAUAUGAAAUUUGAAAGGGGCUAAUCUGACCAUCAACCUAAACAUCCUUAACUACUCUGUAAAUACAGUAGCACGAAAUCUGGACCUGGCCAUGGCUGGAACACACACACACACACCUCUUACCAUGACCUUCCUUCCAUGGCGAUGGCCACCUCCUUGACUUGUUCCAUGGUGAUGGUGAUGGCCUGCACAAACCAACUACGCAAAUUAGAUGGGCAAAUCCAGAAGAAGAAGAAGAAGAAAAGACGAGGGGAAGGAGGGGGCGUACGUACCUUUGGCUUUGCCAGAGUCGAGGGCCACCACAUCAGCAAGCUCGGGUCCCCACCGAGGAACAGAGAAGAGCUCCAUGGGGAUGGGGAUGGGGAUGGGUGGGUGUGGGGCUAGGGUUUCACCCUGGCCAUCCAUCCAUCCGUCCGUCCAUGCGUCGGUUGGGGUCGGUCCUCCACGGUCGGCUGGCCUCCCUCGAGGAACUGGUGGACAACAGCGCGUCGGUCCCGGUUCCCCAUCCAUCCAUCCAAGCGGUAAUGGCGAGGGGGGAGUGUGGGUGGUGGAUACGAGGUCGGCGUUGGGUGGAGGUGGCGGUGUUGGGUGGGGGUGGUGGCGGUGGAGCUUUCCACGGGUGGGAGACAGAGGGAUACGGAGGCGGGGCGGCCGGGUGCCUCGAUCUGGAUCGAGGAGAGGGAGGCCGUGCGCUGGAUCUUGCCGAAAGGGGAGAGAGGGAGGGAGGAGCAGAGCGUGGGGAUCUUGUNNNNNNNNNNNNNNNNNNNNNNNNNNNNNNNNNNNNNNNNNNNNNNNNNNNNNNNNNNNNNNNNNNNNNNNNNNNNNNNNNNNNNNNNNNNNNNNNNNNNNNNNNNNNNNNNNNNNNNNNNNNNNNNNNNNNNNNNNNNNNNNNNNNNNNNNNNNNNNNNNNNNNNNNNNNNNNNNNNNNNNNNNNNNNNNNNNNNNNNNNNNNNNNNNNNNNNNNNNNNNNNNNNNNNNNNNNNNNNNNNNNNNNNNNNNNNNNNNNNNNNNNNNNNNNNNNNNNNNNNNNNNNNNNNNNNNNNNNNNNNNNNNNNNNNNNNNNNNNNNNNNNNNNNNNNNNNAGGGGAUGAGGGGGGAGAAGGGGGCGGCGACGAUGGAUUUGGGGAGGGGAUAGGGUUUGGGUGGUUGGGCUGCCCCGGGGGUGGGGGUUCUUUUUCUUUCUUUCUAUUUUUUUCUUUAGAUAAGUGGGAUGGAUGGAUGGAUGGAUGGAUGGAUGGAUGCCAUGUCAUCGAUCCAUGGCACAAAUAUUUCAACCAAUAAAAACAAAGCUUAUGUAAUUGUGUUUUCCUAUUUGUUUCUCUUGUAUUUUUUGCACGAGGGUGCAUUUUAGAAUGGCAUAAUUUGUUCAAAAUAUAUCAUACUUUGCAUUAGGGUGCAUAUUGGAAUGGCAAACAAGGUUGCCUAAGGAAAUAUUCAUCUUCUUUGGACAAAAAAAUCAUUUUCCAUUUUUUGAGUGCCCCAAAUGAGGUUUUUUUGUGAAGAACCUACCAAAUAAUUGUUGCAAAAUUGGACCAAAUCAUUUUUGUAAAAUACUAGUCCAUAUUUAAUUCACAAUUGACCAAAUGGUUGGGUGUAAAAAGCUUUGAUCCACCUCUCAUGAAAAAGACAAAUUUCCGUCGGUUUAGCUAAAAGCGGGUCAAAUUUGAACUGCAGCUGCCUCAUAGUUAGCUCUUUAUUUUUUCCAAAAAUCAUUUCUAGGUACAUAAGUAUCUAUUUAAUCAGAGAAACAUCAAAAGUUUUCCAAGAUUCAACCACUAGCUAGGAACGGUCAAGCCCGCCGUUUUGACCGCAUAUUGAAACGGGCAUAAAAAAAUUCAAAAAAAUCAAAAAAUUGGAAAACCUUCGCAUUGUGUCAUUAUAUGUGACCAAGUUUCCAGGAAAAAUAAUAAACUUGUAAUACGGUAAUUAUUUUAAAAAAAUGUUCUCAGAAAGGAGCUAUCAAGCGUGAAGAUUCAGGGCUUUCAAGCCAAAUGAUCAAUCUUAUGGCCACAUUCAUGGCAUAGUUUGUUCAAAUGAUCUCAUAUUGUGCAAAAGGGUGCAUCUUGGAAUUCCAAACAAUGUUGCCUCAGGAAGUUUUCAUUUUCUUUGCACGGAAAAUUCAUUUUUCAUUUUCCGAGUGCCCAAAAUGAGGUUUUUUUGUGAAGGAACUACCAAAUAAUUGUUGCAAAAUUGGACCAAACCAUUUUUAUAAAAUACUAGGCCAUAUAUAAUUCACAAUUGACAAAAUGGUUGGGUGAAAAAAGUUCUGAUCGACCUCUGGUGAAAAAGACAAAUUGUCGUCGAUUCAGUUGGAAACGGGUCAAAUUUGAACUGUAGCUGCCUCAUAGUUUGCUCUUCAUUUUUUCCAAAAAUCAUUUCUAGGUAAAUAAGUAUCUAUUUAAUCAGAGAAACACCAAAAAAAUUCCAAGAUUCAACCACUAGCUAGGAACGGUCAAGCCCGCCGUUUUGACCGCAUUUUGAAACGGGCAUAAAAAAUUCAAAAAAAAAUUAAAAAAUUGGAAAACCUUCGCAUUGUGUCAUUAUAUGUGACCAAGUUUCCAGGAAAAAUAAUAAACUUGUAAUACGGUAAUAAUUUAAAAAAAUGUUCUCAGAAAUGAGCUAUCAUGCGUGAAGAUUCAUGGCUUUCAAGCCAAAUGAUCAAUCUUAUGGCCACAUUCAUGGCAUAGUUUGUUCAAAUGAUCUCAUAUUAUGCACAAGGGUGCAUCUUGGAAUUCCAAACAAUGUUGCCUAAGGAAGUUUUCAUUUUCUUUGCACGGAAAAUUCAUUUUUCAUUUUCCGAGUGCCCAAAAGGAGGUUUUUUUGUGAAGGAACUACCAAAUAAUUGUUGCAAAAUUGGACCAAAUCAUUUUUAUAAAAUACUAGGCCAUAUAUAAUGCACAAUUGACAAAAUGGUUGGGUGAAAAAAGUUUUGAUCUACCUCUGGUGAAAAAGACAAAUUAUCGUCGAUUCAGUAGGAAACGGGUCAAAUUUGAACUGUAGCUGCCUCAUAGUUUGCUCUUUAUUUUUUCCAAAAAUCAUUUCUAGGUACAUAAGUAUCUAUUUAAUCAUAUAAACACCAAAAAAACUUCAAGAUUCAACCACUAGCUAGGAACGGUCAUUCCCGCCGUUUUGACCGCAUUUUGAAACGGGCAUAAAAAAUUCAAAAAAAAAUAAAAAAUUGGAAAACCUUCGCAUUGUGUCAUAUAUGUGACCAAGUUUCCAGGAAAAAUAAUAAACUUGUAAUACGGUAAUUAUUUAAAAGAAGUGUUCUCAGGAACGAGCUAUCAUUAUCAUGUGUGGAGAUCAACGUCUUUCAAGCCAAAUGAUCAAUCUUAUGGCCACAUUCGUGGAAUAGUUUGUUCAAAUGACCUCAUAUCGUGCACAAGGGUGCAUCUUGGAAUGACAAACAAUGUUGCCUAAAGAACUUUUCAAUUUCUUUGGACGAAAAAUUCAUUUUCCAUUUUUUUGACUGCCCAAAAUGAGUUUUUUUGUCAAGGACCUACCAUAUAUUUGUUGCAAAAUUGGACCGAAUCAUUUUUGUAAAAUACUAGGCCAUAUAUAAUGCACAAUUGACAAAAUGGUUGGGUGUCAAAAAUUUUGAUCCACCUCUGGUGAAAAAGACAAAUUCCCGCUGAUUCAGUUGGAAGCGGGUCAAAUUUGAACUGUAGCUACCUCGUAGUUUGCUCUUUAUUGUUUACAAAUAUCAUUCCUAGGUAAAUAAGUAUAUAUUUAAUCAGAGAAACACCAAAAAAAUUCCAAGAUUCAACCACUAGCUAGGAACGGUCAUUCCCGCCGUUUUGACCGCAUUUUGAAAUGGGCAUAAAAAAUUCAAAAAAAAUCAAAAAAAUGGAAAACCUUCGCAUUGUGUCAUUAUAUGUGACCAAGUUAUUAGAAAAAAUUAUAAACUUGUAAUAUGGCAAUUCUUUUAAAAAUGUGUUCUCAGAAAAGAGCUAUCAUGUGUGAAGAUUCAUGGCUUUCAAGCCAACUGAUCAAUCUUAUGGCCACAUUCAUGACAUAGUUUGUUCAAAUGAUGUCAUAUUGUGCACAAAGGGGCAUAUUGGAAUGGCAAACAAUGUUUCCUAAGGAAGUUUUCAUUUUGUUUGGAUGAAAAAUUCAUUUUCCAUUUUUUCGAGCCCGAAAUGAGUUUUUUUGUGAAGGACCUACCAUAUAUUUGUUGCAAAUUUGUACCAAAUCAUUUUUAUAAAAUACUAGGCCAUAUUUAAUGCACAAUUGACAAAAUGGUUGGGUGUACAAAGAUUUUAUCCACCUCUGAUGAAAAAGACAAAUUACCGCCGAUUCAGUAGGAAGCGGGUCAAAUUUGACCUGCAGCUGCGUCAUCUGGCCAUAAAAUAGGAGGGUUCUAGAUAACACUUGGUUUGCAAUGUGCCAAUCUGGCCAUAAAAUAGAAAUUGAACCUGGGCUCACGUAGAUGAUUUGGCUGAGUUGCAAUUUGAAGGAGGGUGAUAAUUUGGGCAUAUGAAGGAACUAUAUUAAUUACAUGUCAUUUGGAUAUAUAAAAAUGGUACUUCCUUCACAUUCCAAAUAUUUGUUACAAAACAUUAGACCACAUUUCAUGUACAAAUCACCAAAUGGUUUCAUGUAAAAAGGUUUCCAUACACCUCUAGUGAAAUUGACAAAUUUUUCACUAAUUCCUCAAUUUCAAACAAAGUUUAAUAUUUUUAAAUGAUUUUUUUGAAAAAUCUAGAAAAUAUUUUUUGCAAAGUGGAACAACACCAUUUUCAAUACAUAUUUAACAUUUUGGAGUGCAAGUUUAAGAUUUUUCGAAAACUUGGUCAACAUUUAAUCACAAAAUGUUUGACAUAUUUUUUCCAAUGCUUCGACUAAAUUUUUUAAAAUACAUGAUAAACCAUUUAGUAUAAAUUAUAUAUUUUUGUAUAAAAAAUUUCUUAUACAUGAGAAGUUGAAAAAAUCAUGAAAAUUAAAAAACUUAGCGUUGCGUCACAUAGUUAAUAAAAAAAUUACAAACUUCGAAAUGAUGAUUUUGAAUUGAUGAUUUUUUUUUGAAAUUUACAAUCAUUUUUUGUGAACUUUUUAUGAAAAAAUUAUGAACAUUUUUUAAUUCAAAAAUUUUGGGUCAGAUUCACAAGCAUGAUUUCAAUGCGCGAACAUUUCUUCAAAAUCAUGAACUUCUUUUAGUCCGCGUACAUUUUAUGAUUUCGCUUACAUUUUUCUAACAAAUUCCUUUUUAUGUUUGAAACUUUUUUGAAAUCCCAAAUUAUUUGAAAGAAGAAGAAAUGAAACAUAUGUUUUUAAUAAUAAGCAUACAUUUCAGACGUAAGGCCUGCUAAUAGGCUAUGGGCCGUGAGCCCACUCGGCGGACCGCUGUGUUAACGUAAAAAAGGAGAGAAGGGGAGGCCUAUCACGACUUAGGCCCAAGCCUAGGAAACGAUAUUAUCUAUAAAAGAAUGGAUUGCGGUAGCAUAUCAGUACUAAGGUGGUGGCGUGGUGGUGUGGCUCUGCGGGUUUGUGUGGUGCGGCGCGGGUUCGAAUCCCCCGUUGCCCAUAUUUAUUUUCUAGUUUUCUCCAUUGACAGUGGUGAUGCCUCAUGCUAGUUGGUGGGUCCUGCUUGUCGGGUAAGUGGUGGGACCCGCAUGUCAGUUGGUGGGUGUUGUGUGGUCAGGUCGUCCUACCUGUCAGGUCGGUGGUGGGACCCGCAUGUCGGGUCAGUGGGGCCAACGGGUCAGUUCAAUGGUGGGACACCUGGAGUCAGUUUAUUGGUGGGUCCUCCAUGUUAGUUUGGUGGGGCCCAUUUGUAAGUGGUAGAUUCAAACCAGUGCCAUGUGCAUGACAUAUAGGCAAAAAUGACACAUGGACAUGACACAUAGGACAAACAUGAUGAGGUGGCACUUAGUCAUAGCAAUGCACCACAAUUUACAAGGCUAUGACCAUCUAUAUUGGUCGUGAUUAGCUAGAAAUAAUGCAUCGGACCAGUGUUGUUUGCUUUAUGACCAUUUCGUGUAAGGAAAUUACGACAUUUCUGACCAAAAUGGUCGCAAUGCUUUAGGGUUUGGAGCCCCCCGAACAGCUUUUGACAAAUUGGUCUCAAAUGGUCAUAGAUCUAUGACCAAUUCUUCUAGGGUCACUGACAGAAGGUCACUAGUUGACAUAUUUCUUGUGGUGAACCUUUUCGGUGACCGUAUGUCAACUUCCCAUAUAUAAAUAUUCACAUCAGGACCAUUCCAGAACUCCUCGUGACAUCCGGGAUCUCAUCCGAGACUCCGAACAACAUUCGGUAAUCACAUACAAGUCUUCCUAAUAACCAUAGCGUCAUCGAACCUUAAGUGUGUAGACCCUACGAGUUCGGGAAUCACGCACACAUGACCGAGACAGCUCUCCGGCCAAUAACCAACAACGGGAUCUGGAUACCCAUGUCGGCUCCCAUGUGUUCCACGAUGAUCUCAUCGGAUGAACCACGAUGUCGAGGAUUCAGGUAAUCCCGUAUACAAUUCCCUUUAUCAAUCGGUACGUUAGUUGCCCGAGAUUCGAUCGUCGGUAUCCCAAUACCUCGUUCAAUCUCGUUCACGGCAAGUUACUUUACUCGUUACAUAAUGCAUGAUCCAGUGACUAACCACUUAGUCACAUUGAGCUUAUUAUGAUGAUGCAUUACCGAGUGGGCCCAGAGAUACCUCUCCGUCAUACGGAGUGACAAAUCCUAGUCUCGAUUCGUGCCAACCCAACAGAUACUUUCGGAGAUACCUGUAGUGCACCUUUAUAGUCACCCAGUUACGUUGUGACGUUUGGUACACCCAAAGCACUCCUACGGUAUCCGAGAGUUACACAAUCUCAUGGUCUAAGGAACUGAUACUUGACAUUAAAAAAGCUUUAGCAAACGAACUACACGAUCUUGUGCUAUGCUUAGGAUUGGGUCUUGUCCAUCACAUCAUUCUCCUAAUGAUGUGAUCCCGUUAUCAAUGACAUCCAAUGUCCAUAGUAAGGAAACCAUGACUAUCUGUUGAUCAACGAGCUAGUCAACUAGAUGCUCACAAGGGACAUGUUAUGGUCUAUGAAUUCACACAUGUAUCACUGUUUCCGGUUAAUACAAUUAUAGCAUGAAUAAUAGACAAUUAUCAUGAACAAGGAAUAUAAUAAUAAUCAUUUUAUUAUUGCAUCUAGGGCAUAUUUCCAACACCGCCUUGAUUAACACUAGCUAGUUCAGCAAAGCAUAGUUGUUGGGCUGUAUAAUUAGUAUUAAUUUUAGAUUUCAAUUAGUAUACUUGUAUUUUAAAUUUAAAAACAUGCUUUUGAUUUAUACAGUGAUUCCUUAAUUAUCAUCAUUGAAUAAAAAUAACAAUGUUUCCAUUUGAAUGAGUGAUUUGUUCAUAUCAACAAGGCAAACUUAACAUGUUAUACCAUGAAAAGACUAAAAGAGUGUCUUGUUACAUUUAUGUUAGUUUGCAUCCAAAUUUCGAUUCACUAAGGAACUAUGUUUGUCAAGGUGACUAUGGUGGUAAAAUGAACAUGUGAUGUUAUUAAGAAUCACAUGACCCUUCAAUAGCCUUUUUCUUUUCUUUUUAGAGCAAGAUAUCCGUCAAUAAACCUUGAGCUUGCAGUUAUUUUAAAAUGCUCUAAACACUUAGCCUUAUUGCCUCAUGCACAUAAAAUUAUGGACAACCCACUCCAAACUCACUUCCACAGUUCCAACGUUCUUCAUCGUCAACCUUCUGGAAUGUGUUGAUUAUUUAGUUUCUCUUUUAUGGUAGUGUGCAUUAAUUUAAAAGAUUAGGCUCGCUGAUCUAACAUAGUUCGCAACCUUUUUGAAUGUUUUUGGACAAAAGUCUACAACCUCUACUUGCUAUUAUCGAAUAUCAAUUAUUUCACCAUAAACUAAUUAGUAAAUUGAAUACUUGCUUGUGUUGUAGGACCCCUUCAACGUGCUACAAGUUGCAUGGUACCUCAUGACCUCACUAUUUGUAUGUUAUUUUCCUAUUAAUUUGUUAGAUAUCUUAGCUACCGCUCUACCUUAACAGUGCCUCAUGACCCUCAUUGUUGGUAUAUUUUCUUUGCUAUAUUACUAAUUCGCAAAUUGGAUGAGUGCUUCUGUUAGCACUUGUUUUGUGCAGUACUAGAGGAAUAAAAGGCUUUAGCCUCUCGGGAGCAAUAGCUUCUAUUCUGAUAUUAUUUGUGUUGUCAAAAAGAAAAUGUGACCAAGGUAGAGAUUUCUACCUUAUAUCAACAAGGCCAAUAGGCCCAAGUUACGUACUAUUCUAUUUAUAUUGCAAUAAAUGUGCUUCAUAUUUUUUCCUGUUACAUCAAACCUCUAUCGUUCUUGCUUGAGUGCAUUGUUUUUUUUACUUCUCCUUCAUUUACUUUAUAGAAGAAACUGAAAAGCAGUGAUACUCUGAAUUUUUCUACUAGAAGGAAUACUAGAGAUGCCAGGCCUGAAUGUUGGUAUGGGAUCUGCUCAUGGUGAUCUAUUGGAUGCAGGAUUUGCAAAGCUUCAAGGCAAAGAUUUAAUUAGGUCAUCCAAUCUUAUGCAAUCUCAUCUAUGGCCAACGUGGAUGCUAUGUUCAAAGUGUCCUUCACCGCCUAGGUGAUGGUGUCCCAUUAAAAUGAAGUCCCAGGAUGUCAUUCAGAUUGGGCACACACAAUUACACUUUCUCCUAUGAGCUAGCUCCGUGUUUGCAUACUUAACUGCUUAGGGCACUCCAUAGUAGUUUAAUUUUCGUGGCCAUUCCUAUCAUAUUGGUUCCCUCAUAGCUUCUCCUCCGCACUCAUAUUCCAUUACAACCCAUGACUCCAUCCGGAAAGUGCCUUGCCCACUCUGAUUUUUGCUUCUGGUGACAAUGGUCAUGGCAAUGGAAUUACUGUUGGCACUGGAACAGAAGGAAUGUUUACGGUGCCAAUCAACAUGUCUUCUGCUGAAACGAACACUAGUGAGCCUAUGAAAGUCGAACCAAUUGGAAUACAUGAUGAACAUGGUAGGUUAUCAUUGUCACAUACUUAUGCUUUGUAUACACGAUCCAUUGGAAUACAGCAAGGUGAACCAAUUGGCGGAAUACAGCAAGUUGUUCUUAUUCUUUGUAUGUAUGUGUGCACGCACUGACAGACACACAAAUCUCAAGCCUCUAGGCCAAAUGGGAUAGCAAAUAGCAUGGAUGGAAGAGGUAACUGUAUACAUGAACUACCAACGCAACCUUGCUCCACACUAAUCCUUUUCGGAAACAAAUUAUGGUAGAUUGCAACCUAAUACUUAUCUCAUUAGAGACUUUUACUUCAGCAUACACGGAACUUGAACCGAAACCGUGGAUGUCGUCUCACCUAGUAGUGCCACGAGAGCGCCUCCGCGGUGUGGCCCUCGUCCUGGCCGGCGGUGAAGCGGACGCCUCUGACGAAACCUGUAAGCUUGGCCUUCCUGAGUAUCCAUAUCCAUGUACAGGUCGCCAGCACAGUUGCUGAGGGACACAGACUGGCGGACGGCGCCAUUGCUAGCUGCAUCUGGAUCUCCUCCUCGGCCCGAGUAGAUGUAGAUUUAGUCUGCCUCGUUCCUUUCGUUUCUACCCCGGCCCGACAGAGGCACGGCGGCCGAACGUCGCGGAUGGGGGAAGGGUGGUGGGAGAGGUGUUCGUUGGAUUGAUGGCACGGUCAUCGUCAGUUCGUCACCGACUUCAGAGACACGGCAUCACAGGAGGAUGCAGGAGUGGUGGCAGCCGGCAGCGGGCGUUGGGAUCGGGCAAAUCUCAUCACAUAGCCAAGUGAAUGGAAACCAGCAGCCCAAGAACUGGGACAAGAAUAAGAGCAUCGUUAAUAAUAUAGCCAAGAGCCGGCUAUAUGAAGUUGUCAUGUCACUUAUAGCUAGCGUAAUAGUCCACUCAUACAAUAUACAAUAGUUAUUCAUACUAGUAUGCGAUAUCAUUAAUAUACGCACACAUUUUUCUAUCGUAAAGGUUGUUCGGGCUUGUGCUACGGUCGGUUGUAAGUUUGUAGCCCACUUUUCUUCUCUCUCCUCUCCUCUCCUCUUCAACUAGGCACAAAUCUGAUGUGACAUCUCUAGUAGCUCGCCUACGUCAUUCUAUUAUACUUGCUGAUACAUUAUCAUUUUAUCAUACCAAAGAUGAACCAAUUGGAAUACAUGAACCAUUUCUCUCAUGUAUUUUCUCCUUUGUGAUACUAGUUAGUGUGCACAUGCAACACACGUCUCAAGGAGCAAACUAUUCAUUAUCAUCAAUAAGAAAACAAAGGAAAAAUAUCAUAAGCUAUGUUUAUUCAGAAAAACAAGGAACUACGAGUUGCAAAAAUAUUUGUCCUUAUACUAGCAGAAACAAGCAUACUUGCAGAGUAGCACAAAAGCAAUAAAGCCUACAAACACUCUCCCUUGCAGAGCAAGUCUUAAACUAAGAUUGUCAAAAUUUUCUCAAGCUUAUUAUUCUUCACCUCCCAAGGUACACCAGCUUCGUUUGCACUCCAAAGAAGUAAUCCAUCAUAAGAAUAUUCCCGAUGCAUGCUAAUAAAGCAAGUAUAGCAUUAGUAAGCAUGAAUUGUAAUACUGACAUGAGAAAUCAGAGAUAACAUUAGUUUGACUAUAUAUGGUUGUUAGGACUGGCUCUAUACAUAAAUGAGUAAAUGAUUGAACAGUCAGCAUGAUUAGUAAUAUUGAGAAAAUAAAUCAUAGAUAACAUUAGAUUGGGCUAUAUAUGAUUGUUAGGAAUAGAUGUAUACAUAGAUGACUAAUCAUAAAAGGUGCUAGCCUCUCUCUCUCUCAACCUCAGUGGCAUACUUAAACCCAGACCUCAGAUAAGCGUGAGAUAUUACAGUGAUAUUAAUAUUAAUAAACUAAAUGGUAUUAAACCAUUCCGUGCACACUUAUCAUAACUUAUAAAGACAAAAGUUGUAUUAUUAUGAGCAAAUGCACGAC
rnacentral:lncRNA from 1 species